AUGACGACCUGUCUGGUUUAGUCGGUAGUGACCCUGCCUAUAAAGUCGAUGGUCCCGGGUUCAAUUCCUGGUAAGGGCAUUUAUUUGUGUUAUGAGCACGGAUAUUUGUUCCUGAGUCUUGGGUGUCUUCUAUGUAUUUAGCCAUUUAUAAAUAUUUAUAUAUUUUAUAUAACGUUAUCUAAGUACCCACAACACAAGCCUUACUCAGUUUACUGUGGAGCUUAGCCAAUUUGUGUAAUAAUGUC